rnacentral:rRNA from 1 species
UACGAAGGGGGCUAGCGUUAAUCGGAAUUACUGGGCGUAAAGCGCACGUAGGUGGUUUGUUAAGCUAGCUGUGAAAUCCCCGGGCUCAACCUGGGCACUGCAGUUAGAACUGGCAAGCUAGAGUAGGGUAGAGGGGUGUGGAAUUCCAGGUGUAGCGGUGAAAUGCGUAGAUAUCUGGAGGAACAUCAGUGGCGAAGGCGACACCCUGGACUCAUACUGACACUGAGGUGCGAAAGCGUGGGGAGCAAACAGG